AGCCUGAUCUAGCCAUGCCGCGUGUGUGAUGAAGGUCUUAGGAUCGUAAAGCACUUUCGCCAGGGAUGAUAAUGACAGUACCUGGUAAAGAAACCCCGGCUAACUCCGUGCCAGCAGCCGCGGUAAUACGGAGGGGGUUAGCGUUGUUCGGAAUUACUGGGCGUAAAGCGUACGUAGGCGGAUUGGAAAGUUGGGGGUGAAAUCCCAGGGCUCAACCCUGGAACUGCCUCCAAAACUAUCAGUCUAGAGUUCGAGAGAGGUGAGUGGAAUUCCAAGUGUAGAGGUGAAAUUCGUAGAUAUUUGGAGGAACACCAGUGGCGAAGGCGGCUCACUGGCUCGAUACUGACGCUGAGGUACGAAAGUGUGGGGAGCAAACAGGAUUAGAUACCCUGGUAGUCCACACCGUAAACGAUGAAUGCCAGUCGUCGGGCAGUAUACUGUUCGGUGACACACCUAACGGAUUAAGCAUUCCGCCUGGGGAGUACGGUCGCAAGAUUAAAACUCAAAUG
rnacentral:rRNA from 1 species